rnacentral:rRNA from 1 species
UACGAAGGGGGCUAGCGUUGUUCGGAUUUACUGGGCGUAAAGCGCACGUAGGCGGAUUGUUAAGUCGGGGGUGAAAUCCUGGAGCUCAACUCCAGAAUUGCCUUCGAUACUGGCUUUCUAGAGGCUGGAAGAGGUUAGUGGAAUUCCCAGUGUAGAGGUGAAAUUCGUAGAUAUUGGGAAGAACACCAGUGGCGAAGGCGGCUAACUGGUCCAGAUCUGGCGCUGAGGUGCGAAAGCGUGGGGAGCAAACAGG